CCUGUACAAGGACAGCACACCACCAGGAAUGUACAAUAUGUGCAACUUUCCUCUAAAAUCUAGGCUCAAAAGUGUUCUCAACUUCCACAGUCCUCUAAGUGUUUCUUAGAUCAAGAAACAAGAGACAUUAAUCUUAGAAAUGGAGGCGGUGACCUUUGAGGACGUGGCUGUGGCCUUCACCUGGGAGGAGUGGCAGGACCUGGACGACGCUCAGAGGACCCUCUACAGGGACGUGAUGCUGGAGACCUACAGGAGCUUGGCAUCCCUGGGUGAGCCAGACUCCUUCACCACCAAGUGCAAACUCUCCUUCAGUGAUACAUGUGCAGCUUUUUCUAACUAUGUACGUUAUAGGUUUAAGACUUCAUGCCAACUAGAUUGUUCACCACCCCAAGAAUGUAUACAAUUAGCCCCUCAUGUGCAAAAGUUACAACUCUGCUAUUGUCACUCUUCAA